UACGUAGGUGGCAAGCGUUGUCCGGAUUUACUGGGCGUAAAGGGCGUGCAGGCGGUUUGUUAAGUCUAGGGUGAAAGCUCCCGGCUCAACUGGGAGAGGUCAUUGGAGACUGCGGUGCUGGAGGGUGGCAGAGGCCGGUGGAAUUCCCGGUGUAGUGGUGAAAUGCGUAGAGAUCGGGAGGAACACCAGUGGCGAAGGCGGCCGGCUGGGCCAUACCUGACGCUGAGGCGCGAAAGCGUGGGGAUCAAACAGG
rnacentral:rRNA from 1 species